CGGCCCUGGGGGAGGGGGACACUUCAUUUCUUCGCCAGAUCUGGAUCCCGGGGACGACGUCGGGUCGCUAUGCAAGGCGGUGGCCUGCGGGAAGGGGAACUGCACGGUGACAGAAGUAUGUCGGAAGGAUUCCAGAUCCACCUUGCCUGAUCCUUGGGGAAGAUCCUGGUCAUGAUGAAGAUGCUAGUGACCAAGUGUUAGAAGACGAACACGAAGGGAUAACAACAAGAGGACCAUAAUUCAUGUGUUCCUGUCAAGGAUUAAUUCCCAGUCCCUUUUUACAGUUCAUCAUCCAUUGCUAGGGAAGCUUUUGUC